GAUGAACGCUGGCGGCGUGCCUAAUACAUGCAAGUCGAGCGAACAGACGAGGAGCUUGCUCCUUCGACGUUAGCGGCGGACGGGUGAGUAACACGUAGGUAACCUACCUAUAAGACUGGGAUAACUUCGGGAAACCGGAGCUAAUACCGGAUAAUAUUUCGAACCGCAUGGUUCGAUAGUGAAAGAUGGCUUUGCUAUCACUUAUAGAUGGACCUGCGCCGUAUUAGCUAGUUGGUAAGGUAACGGCUUACCAAGGCAACGAUACGUAGCCGACCUGAGAGGGUGAUCGGCCACACUGGAACUGAGACACGGUCCAGACUCCUACGGGAGGCAGCAGUAGGGAAUCUUCCGCAGUGGGCGAAAGCCUGACGGAGCAACGCCGCGUGAGUGAUGAAGGUCCUCGGAUCGUAAAACUCUGUUAUUAGGGAAGAACAAACGUGUAAGUAACUGUGCACGUCUUGACGGUACCUAAUCAGAAAGCCACGGCUAACUACGU
rnacentral:rRNA from 1 species